CAAUAGCGUAUAUUAAAGUUGUUGCGGUUAAAAAGCUCGUAGUUGGAUUUCUGCCGAGGACGACCGGUCCGCCCUCUGGGUGAGUAUCUGGCUCGGCCUGGGCAUCUUCUUGGAGAACGUAGCUGCACUUGACUGUGUGGUGCGGUAUCCAGGACUUUUACUUUGAGGAAAUUAGAGUGUUUCAAGCAGGCUUACGCCUUGAAUACAUUAGCAUGGAAUAAUAAGAUAGGACCUCGGUUCUAUUUUGUUGGUUUCUAGAGCUGAGGUAAUGAUUAAUAGGGAUAGUUGGGGGCAUUCGUAUUUAACUGUCAGAGGUGAAAUUCUUGGAUUUACGGAAGACGAACAUCUGCGAAAGCAUUUGCCAAGGAUGUUUUCAUUGA
rnacentral:rRNA from 1 species